GAUGAACGCUGGCGGCGUGCCUAAUACAUGCAAGUCGAGCGAACGGACGAGAAGCUUGCUUCUCUGAUGUUAGCGGCGGACGGGUGAGUAACACGUGGUUAACCUACCUAUAAGACUGGGAUAACUUCGGGAAACCGUAGCUAAUACCGGAUAAUAUUUUGAACCGCAUGGUUCAAAAGUGAAAGACGGUCUUGCUGUCACUUAUAGAUGGAUCCGCGCUGCAUUAGCUAGUUGGUAAGGUAACGGCUUACCAAGGCAACGAUGCAUAGCCGACCUGAGAGGGUGAUCGGCCACACUGGAACUGAGACACGGUCCAGACUCCUACGGGAGGCAGCAGUAGGGAAUCUUCCGCAAUGGGCGAAAGCCUGACGGAGCAACGCCGCGUGAGUGAUGAAGGUCUUCGGAUCGUAAAACUCUGUUAUUAGGGAAGAACAUAUGCGUAAGUAACUGUGCACAUCUUGACGGUACCUAAUCAGAAAGCCACGGCUAACUACGUG
rnacentral:rRNA from 1 species